rnacentral:lncRNA from 1 species
UGGCGACCGACGCGCGGCGGUGGCGGAGACCCACCCCCGUCCACAUGGACAGUCGCCGAGGCCUGGGCUGAUGCUCUGACGCCUGGGCGGGGUGGGCGGGCGGCGGCGGCCACUGCUGGAGCAGCGAGGGGUCGCGGGCGCCUGACGGUCGCGGAGCCCUCGCUCGGCUCGGCGCUGCGGCCAUUUUACGGCCCGGGACGCAGGAGGCGUGUGAGCGUUCGCUUCGUUCUCCGUCCUCCGGGGCCAGCGGCGGAGCGGAGAGGAGCUUCUCCGAGGCCGGCGCGGGCGGUGGAUGGGGAGUCGUGUGCUGAGGGGAGCCGGGCCCGGGAAGCGCCGCCGCCGCCGCUCACGGUCCCCGGUAGGCGCCUGAGGAGAAGAAACCCAGGCC